AGAAGAAGGAAACAAAAAAUGAAAGAUACGAAAACAACAAAAGAAAGAGAGUUUGAAAUCUCACAAUCACUCAUCUUCCUCAUAUUCCUUUUGAACAUAAACAAUGGCUAUAUUCUAUCCAAAUUCAGCUAGGUUGAAAUUAAUCUAUCAAAGCAACAUAAUGGAGAUCGAUUUCGUCGGUUGAGUUGAUGUCGAGUGGUUGAGGCUGAGAUCUAGUCCAUAGUAACCUGUGCUUUGUUCGAAUUCGAGUUUUGAAGAGACGGGCAUCGGGUUGAGGUGUUUGAGUGGUGUUGGAUCCGGUUAUGGAAUUUCGAAGCGAGGUACAUAUAUGCCUAGCUGCCUUGUGGGCGCAGAGGUGUAGUUAGUAAUUGUGGGGACAUAGGUGAGCUGAAUUAUGUAUUACGAUCAGCAGCCAAUAGAGUCUCCUUCAGAGUUAUUAUAUUUUCCUGUCUAUUUUGUAUUCUGGACAAAUGCUGUAUUUUAUUUUUAA